rnacentral:lncRNA from 1 species
UCCAUCUUUCAUAUGCGAUUGGCGCGGUCUUGCCACUCUUGAUUUAUCGAACAACAACUUUAAUGGUUCAAUCCCUCGUUGUAUGGGAAAUCUCAAGAGUUCUCUUUUAGAUCUAAACCUUCGUCAAAAUCGUCUUAACGGAGGUCUUCCUGAGAAUAUAUAUGAAAGCUUAAGAACGCUUGACAUCGGUCAUAACCAACUGACGGGAAAGCUUCCAAGAUCAUUGAUCCGUUUCUCUAGUCUUGAAGUUCUGAACGUGGAAAGCAACAUUAUCAAUGACGUGUUCCCGUCUUGGUUGAGUUCUCUACCGGAGCUUAGAGUUCUUUUAUUAAGCUCAAAUGCCUUCCAUGGACCAAUACCUCAAACUUCGUUCCCUAAGUUACAAAUCAUAGACAUAUCGCACAAUCACUUCAAUGGAGCUUUGCCAUCAGACUACUUUGUUAAGUGGAGUGCUAUGUCAUCACUUGUGACAGAUUAUGAUCUGGACCAAAAGUACAUGAGAGAUUUCUAUUACUAUAAUUCAAUAGUUUUGAUGAAUAAAGGCUUCGAGUUGGAGCUACAACGUAUCUCACAAGUCUUCGCAGCACUCGACUUUUCAGGAAACAAAUUUGAAGGAGAGAUCCCAAGGUCCAUCGGUCUAUUGAAAGAGCUUCAUGUUCUCAACUUGUCCAACAAUGCUUUCACCGGCCAUAUCCCAUCGUCUCUGGGAAACCUGACGGCUCUUGAGUCACUGGACGUUUCCCAAAACCAGCUGUCAGGAGAAAUUCCGCAAGAGCUAGGGGAACUCUCGUUUCUUUCCUACAUGAACUUCUCUCAUAACCAGCUUGCAGGUCUAGUACCUGGAGGCACUCAGUUUCGAAGGCUGAAUUGCAGUUCGUUCGAGGAUAACAUGGGACUUUUUGGCCCUUCUCUAGACGAAAUUUGCAGAGAUAUUCACACGUCAACAGUGACGCAACAGUAUGAAAUGCCGGAAUCAGAGGAUGUAGAAGAGAUGUUGAGUUGGACAGCAGCUUUAAUAGGAGUCUUACCUGGUAUUGCCUUUGGAUGGGUUAUUGGAUACAUACUUGUUCCUUACAAACCAGAGUGGUUCAUGAAACUCUUUUUUCUACGUAGACGCAGACACCACAACUCAUUAAAGAGGUAAUGUUCCGAGUUUUGAACCAAUUUGUUAACAAACAUUUGAAAAAAACAAAAAUAUAUUAGUUAAAAACCUUUUUGUUGUACAGGUUUUUCGUAACAUACGUGAAGAAUCUGAAAGAAGAAAUUUAAAGCAACCACUAUGUAUGAAUCCAGAUUAGCUAGCAUUAGGGGUAUCGUUUCCGGUUUAGUUUGGUGUGUUUUCCCAUUACUCCUUUAUAUAACUUUGUUUGAAAGAUUGUUUGUUUCUCUGUUAUUGUUUCCGGUAUAGUUUGGUGUGUUUUCUCUCUCUGCCUCUCUAUUUUAUUUUUUACUUUUAGCCAACUUCUUUGUGUCUCUGUAAUUGAACAACUAUGUUCCUUACGUCAUCUAAAUAUCAACGGUAUAGACGUGAUCAGAGCAACAAACAUAUGACCAAGAUCAACGCUAUAAGCAGCACGUGACUUUGGAAAAAGGAUAUACAAACUUUUUUUUGGUUAGAGGAUAUACAUACUAUAUAUGGAUAUUUCGAUUGUUCAUGUCAAUGAAACAUAUGAAUACAUAGAAACUCUAGACCUUUCAAAUAUUUGUAUCAAAAGAAUCCAUUUGCUAUCAAAAGGUUCAAGAUAUCGAGAAUCUUUGGAUUAGUUAAGUUGUUAUUAGAGCAUCUCCAAUAUAAAACGCCAUUUUUUCCUCCAAAAUGGGUACCCAUUUUAAGAUUGUUAGGCUUUUUGAAAGUUUUUUUGACAAAACAAAACAAAAGGAAAACAAGUUUUGCAUUGAAGUCAUGCCAAAGAAGUUGCAUGAAUUUUUUUUUUUUUUGAUAACCGAGUGUCCUGGUCCCACCGUGGUGGUCCAGACUAGAGACCGAGUCCGUAGCAGGUUCAACACCCAGACAAUGGUCUUCGGUCUCGGGCGCCAGAGCAAGUCCGCAUGUGAAUUCCCUGGUGGCCAGUGGAAAUCGAACCCGGGUCCGUAUUGGGACCGAAGCUCCCUCAAGACCACUAGGCUAACCCCGCUGGUCAAGUUGCAUGAAUUAAAUCUAGCAAAAACUAGCAGUGAUAAUCAUUGAUCUAGGUUCUUACCUUUAGAUAAAAUUACUGGUUAUAACAAAAAGAAAAGCUCAAAUCUGAUGCCUAUCACACCCUUCACCAAGAACAAACGAGGAAUCUGGGUGGAAAAAUAAACUUACAAGAAUAACAAAGAGAUCACAAUCUUUAUGCUUAUUGUGACCACUGUUAAUAAAAGGAAAAUGACAAAGCUUCUCCUAGAAUUUAACACAACAAAGGAUUCCAUGCGAUUGCUGGAAAAAUCUUGUCGGAUAAAAACAUGACGAUUAUUUACAUGGUUUCUCUGUCCAAAAAAAUAUAAACAGAACUAAAUCUAUAAAAUAUCUUUCAAAUCAUUUAGCAUCACUCUGAAACACUAUGCAGCCUAAAAUUGUACUGUUUUUUCUAUACACCUAAUUUUCAUGUCUUUCAUUGGUUUUGAGCUAAUUCACCCAAAGAGAGAACUUACUUUGAUCUGACAUUACAAAAAGAUAUGAGUACAUGAAGUAAGAUCUAACCAAAUCUUUUUACAUGAUUUUGCCUAUCAAAAACGUAGAGUUAAUUUUGGAGGAAUAGGAGCAGGAGAGUCGCAAUUAAUUAUGCACAGUCUAUUGGUACGUAGUUAAUUAUGAGAAAGUUCUUUGGUAGGAACACUAAUUUCUCAUUAAAAUUUGGGUUUAACGAUCAUCUUCCAAUUUAUAACAAAAUUCCUCUUGGAUCAACCUAUAUUUUAAUUUCCUUGAUUGUCUUUUUAAAGUCUUGCUUCCCUUUUGUUUAAUGUCCACAAUCAACAAAAAGAGACAUCCAACUGAUUGGUUAUUUAAGUCUCUCUCUGGUACGUUAUCCUUUGAAUUUUCAACAUUAUACUUUGCAUUUUCUCUCCUUAUUUCCCCUCAAGGACCCCAUAACUUUCUCCAAACUCCAUAAAGUAUUUGGAGCCCGCAACGUCAGUAAGCUUCUCAGUGAGGUCCUUGAAGAACAGAGACAAGAAACCGAUAACUCGUUUGUCUUAUGAGACUGACGUUCGUCUCAAGGAUCCAGUUUACGGUUGCAUUGUAGCCAAUAGCUUCUCUGCAGAAGAAGAUGCUUGAGCUUGAACAUGAUAUAGCCCUUGCUCGCUCUCGACUACUUGGCCAUUCUGGAGUUAACAACAACAAAGCUGCAGUCUACUCUGAUGCCGUUCUCUGAGUUUUGAUCACGAGGAGAAGGGAGAUGCAUUGUAUGGUGAAUUUAAUUCAAGCUCAGGCAGCUAUGCUCGUAGCAAGCUUUUCGUGCAAGCUAUGAAUUGAAGCAUGUAAUUUCCAUGUCCUGGAGUCUUCACUUGAAAACAAUGAUAUUUUUUCUCAUAUAUGCUAUGGUUUUUUAUCUAUGCGUACGUGCUACGGAAGCGAAUAAUGACGUCAUCUUAUUUUCAUAUGCUAUAUUUAUUUUUAUUUUAAUUUCCAUGUGCUGGAGGGAGAGCUUCUUCGCGCCUAUUUCUCACGAAGAACGCUCCUCACCUCAUUCCCUCUCUCCCUCAUCAUGCCCAAAUCCAACGACGGCGGCGCAGAUUCCGAGUCCGAGUCCGAGUCCGUCCCGCUGCUCGAUCUAUCGAAACCGUCAUCACCGAUCUCCUUCCCGAUCAAAUCUCUCCAAUAUUUAAAAUCACGUUCGUACUUCGACUCUUUCCACUUUCAGUUCAAUCGCUCCACAGUCCCUCUCCGGCGAGACUUACCUGAUCGGCCAAGGGUUUUAGUCUGCCACGAUAUGAAAGGAGGGUACGUAGACGACAAGUGGAUCCAAGGGUGUGAAAACGACGCCGGGUUUGCUAUUUGGCAUUGGUUUUUGAUGGAUGUGUUUGUUUACUUCUCUCACUCUCUGGUGACGAUUCCUCCUCCUUGCUGGACCAAUACAGCUCACAGGCAUGGCGUUAAGGUGAAGAUUAGGCAUUCUUGUGGAUACAUUAGUUUAUUAGGAUGUGUAGAUAUGAAUUGGGGUUAAGUAUUUACUUUCUUGUGUAUCUAUGGAAAUGUUAAAAAGGUGUUGGGGACUUUCAUCACGGAAUGGGAUGAAGGAAAAGCUACCUGCAAUGAGAUGCUUGCCACUAAGGAGUCUGCUCAGAUGUAUGCUGAGCGUUUGGCUGAGCUUGCUACUUCUCUAGGUUUCGAUGGAUGGCUGGUGAGUUUUGUCUUUUGGUAGAUACUUCUUGAUUCUUCUGUUCAUCUGCGUUUGAAGUGUAAGCUCUUACCUGCAGAUAAAUAUAGAGAACGAAAUAGAUAAAGAACAGGUUCCUAAUUUGAUGGAGUUCGUCAGCCAUCUAACAAAAGUCUUGCAUUUAUCCACUCCUGGGUCUUUGGUUAUAUGGUAAGUUGUGCACAAGUUCUUUCUUUUGGUAAAACCACUUUGAAUCUGAUCACUUCUUUUUGCAGGUACGAUAGUGUCACUGCUCAUGGCCAUCUUAAAUGGCAAGAUCAUUUGAAUGAAAAGAACAAACCUUUCUUUGACUUGUGUGAUGGUAUCUUCAUGAACUAUACAUGGAAGGUACCGUUCAAUUUCUUCAGUUUGUGUUUCUUCUAUAUGCAUUUGCCUGGUAUUUGAGUGGGUGAUGGUAUUUCAGGAGAGCUACCCAAAAUUAUCAGCUGAAGUUGCCGGGGACAGAAAAUAUGAUGUUUACAUGGGAAUUGAUGUCUUCGGUCGCGGCUCCUUUGGUGGUGGUCAAUGGACUGUAUGUUUUCAGAAACUCUUGUGAAAACCAACCAAUAAUUUUUCAUAUUAUUCUUCUUCAUUGUCUCAUUAAUAUCUAUAUAUAUGCUAGGUUGAUACUGCUCUUGAUUUGCUGAAGAGAAACAAUGUAUCAGCGGCCAUCUUCGCUCCUGGAUGGGUAUAUGAGACUGCACAACCACCUAAUUUCCACACAGCUCAGAAUAAGUAAUACUCUUCUUUUGCCUGUUUGAUUGUCAAAGAAAUUUUGCCAUUUUCUUUGUCAUCUUAUUAUCGUUCAUGCUUUUUUUCUUCAGGUGGUGGUCACUUGUUGAGAAGUCAUGGGGAAUAGUCCAAACAUAUCCACAAGUGUUGCCAUUUUACUCGGAUUUCAAUCAGGUCAAGUGAGAUUGAUUUCAACUUUCUUCCCAUCUUGUUAGAAUAACACCAGGGUAAAGUAUGCAUCGACUGUCUUGCCUAUGAUUUAUGUUCUGAAAAACUCUGUUCUUGCUUAUCCAGGGCUUUGGUAACCAUGUAUCACUCGAGGGUCGCCAGUUAUCUGAUGCUCCAUGGUACAACAUUUCUUGCCAGAGUCUUCAGGUUCAACCAUCUUUAUUGUCCACUCUUUAACUCCACAUAUAAUAUUUACACGAACCAAAAACUUAUUUUCUUGAUCUGGGUUUGUCUCUCCUCUCAUCUGAUUGUUGUGUUAUUCACGUCAGCCACUCCUCGAGUUCAAGGAAGACAACACUGAUAUCAUUCAGGUCACUAUUGAGUGAGUUCUGGCCCCUGAUACUAAAAAAAAUGUUUUUAACUUCUUGUUGAUUUAGAUACAUUUGUUUGCAAACGGAUAACGGUGAGCACAUGACUUUGUUUAGUACUAGAGAUGCAUCUUAUAACGGAGGAGGGAACAUCGUUUUUAAAGGAAGACUCGAGGGAGAUGUGUAUUUCACAGCAAGGCUCUUUAAACCUCUCCUUCAUCUUUCUUCUUCCCCCAUCACAGUCUCCUACUCUGUAAGUCCCUUGCUUUUAGAUACAUCACAUUAUGAGAUGAUCUUGUUUCUCUUCCUAAUGGAUGAUUUUGGAUUUGGUGCAGGUGAAAUCAGAUGAGACUUUUAAACUUGGACUCCUGCUUUCUUUCUCGUCCGCAUCACACGGGACUAAAUCCAUACUUGUGGCGCCACAAGAACCCAUCCCUAGAUUAGAUCACAUGUUCUUGAAGUGCCUCGUUACAUCAGAGCAGACUGUAUCAGAGUGGACGGUACACGAGACAAGCCUUGUCAUGGAUGAACACACACUAACUGAAAUCUCUUUCUUUUGCUACAGAACAGAGAACUCGACGAAGGCAUCAGAGUACGUUGCAUUGCUCGGUCACAUUUCAAUCAAAGAUCAUGUUCAGCUCCUCCAGCAAAACUUCGUUUCCUUACCUCCAGCAUCAUCAUGGGUCAUCGAGGCUCAUAACAUAGAGCUCAUGGUAGAUUCGGACGUGAAAGGGGUCAGCUUCGUGGUGCAACCGUGUGGUGAAGAUGGGUUAUGGAGAAAGCUUGAUGAUUCCCCUAACCUUCUUGUGGACUUGGAGGGUCUCUCGUAGGUUGCUGGAAACAAUGAAACGAUUCAUAAUGUAUAUUACAAAAUUACAUUAAUCUAGAAAGUGGGGAAAACAUGAUAAAAAAAACCUGAACUGAUAACAGAUCAUCAUCGUACAACUUCUUAAAAAUAUAAUUAAUGUACAUUAAUUUCCUUGUAUUUUAUAAUUAUAAAGAGAUCUUUUCCUUGUGCUAUACCGCAUACAAAUUUUUGUGCUAUACGGUAUUAUCUUCGUUUUGUUGUUAUGCCGUAUAUCACAAGCAUUUGAAAAGAUUUUAGGUGUCCAUCAAAGAUUGUCCCCUUGAGGAACUUAACUAUUCUAAACACAGAGCCAAAUCUGGGUUCUGCAAUGCUGGCACAAGUUCAGUGUUCAACGAACUAAGCCAUUAAUACAGUGUUCAAUCAACCUGCCUUUUAACUGAAAAUUCGAGUAGGCUUGAGCAGCAAUUCAUCGCCUGUAUGCUAAAGAGAUGUGAUGAUGAUAGAGAUAUUGAUACUGCGGUGAUUGCUUGCGGAUCUCUCAUUUGAUUUGCCACUGAGAUGGUUAAGAGAGAGGGAGACCACGUGCAUGCAUGUGUUUGCAUGCACGGGGAAUAUGGCAAAGCUAUCAGAGAAUUGAGUUCAUAAACUUGACUGCUCCAAAGUUAUUGGAGACGUUUAGAACAUCAGUUGGUGCUGGGAUCGUCUUACCAACUAGUCUCUUCCUAGUCGUCUCUUUUCUGUAUAUUUUAUUGGAUGAAAAGUGAGAUGAUUAUCAACAAAACUUGUUAUUAAGGUGGUGAGAAGUAACAGAUGUGUGAUUCACCAAUUUGAUUACAUCCACAGACAAAAAAAGACUUUAUUAUUGGAGACGACUUUCAGAAUUAAAUUAGAGUUAUAAGAACACAAGAUAUUUAUAGAACAUCUCUAAUCUUCAAAAAAAAAUCUUAGUGUACAUCAGACUCAUGGGUUUAGGUCUCAUAAUCGAUACAAUUUCCAAUGAUGUAAUGCAUUUAAUGCAUAUCAACAAAACCAUUGUUUAAUGGAGAUUCGCAAGAAGAAGUCUCCUGACAUCACCUUCCUGAUGGAAUCAAAAAACACAGAGGAAACAAUUAGAAAAGAACUCCACUGGCUGAAAGAAGAAAACAACUUCAUAGUUCCCCCACAUCUGGAGGUGGAGGCUUGAUUCUCAGUUGGAAGAAAGAUGUAGAUUUAACAGUCCUAUCAUCCUCCCAAAACUACAUAGACACGAGGAUCAUCUCAAAGGGAAAAUCAUUCCUAGCUACCUUUGUUUAUGGUGAACCAGACCACACAAAGAGAAAUGCAUUUUGGUCUACUCUAUCCUCUCUACACCCAAAACCGAAAGGCCCAUGGUUCCUAACUGGAGACUUCAACGAACUAAUCGACAAUACUGAGAAGAAAGGAGGCCCAAUAAGAGCGGAAGGUACCUUUUUGGAGCUUUUCGAACCUUCCUCUCAGAGAAUGAUCUGUUUGAUCUUAAACACUCUUGUAAUCUCUUCUCAUGGAGAGGUAAAAGAGGAGAUCACCUAGUGCGAUGCCGCCUUGACAGAUCCCUCAGCAACCCUGAAUGGACAGAGCUCUUCCCUUCUUGCCGUUGCCAAUACCUCAAGUUUGAAGCUUCUGAUCAUCGUCCAAUCCUCUCCUACCUAGACACCACCAAGAAGAAAGGUCGCAAUCUAUUUCGCUAUGACAGACGACUCAAAGAUUGUAAAGAGAUAAAAGCACUAGUAACAGAGAUUUGGACAACCUGUGCAUAUCUUGGGGUAGAAGCAAGACUGGCUCUAUGUAGAAGAGCAAUCUACAAGUGGUGUAAGCUGUUCCAUGAGAACAGCAGAAAAACAAUUGAGAAUCUCAGAGAGGAUCUAGAAUUUCAGAUGACAAGUGAGACUCCUAAUGGUGACAGGAUUAUAGAGAUAAAUAAGGGCUUCUUAAAAGCAUAUCAAUCCGAAGAAGCCUAUUGGAAACAAAGGAGUCGCCAACUCUGACUAACCUUAGGAGAUUCAAAUUCAGGGUAUUUUCAUGCCGUCACAAAAGCUAGAAAAGCAAAAAACAGAGUAACUGUCCUAGAGAAAGAUGAUGGAAUACCUCUUUUCGAAGAAGAUCAAAUUUCGGCUCGGUCUGCUCUUAUUACAACAAGAUGUUCACAGCAAAUCCCAGAGACGAUAAUGAGGACACAAUCUUCCGUGCUCUCAAACCUUGCGUGGCGCCAUAGUGGAAUGAAUCUCUCACCAGACACCCGUCCCCAGCAGAAAUUAAAGAUGCUCUCUUUGCAAUCCACGCAGACAAAGCACCUGGCCCAGACGACUUCUUCGCGAGCUUCUUCCACUUUAACUGGGACGUAAUUGGCCCCUCCAUUAUAGAAGAGAUCCAACGCUUCUUCUCCACAGGAAUUAUGCCCCCUAGUUUAAAUGAGACUCAUGUCAGACUUAUUCCUAAGAUCCAAACUGCAAAGAGAGUAGAAGAGUACAUACCUAUCGCCUUGUGUAACGUAUACUAUAAAGUGAUCUCCAAACUUCUCUUCCUGCACCUGAAACCAGUCCUUAAAGAGAUCAUCUCAGAGAACCAAUCUGCUUUUAUCCCUGGAAGAGCAAUAACAGACAACGUGUUAAUUACUCAUGAAGUGCUGCAGUAUCUGAAAACCUCACAAGCACAAAAACAAUGCUCAAUGGCGGUUAAAAUGGACAUGUCUAAAGCCUAUGACCGUGUUGAAUGGGAUUUCGUUGCACAAGUAAUGUCAAGACUAGGUUUUAGCAACAAGUGGACCAAUUGGGUAAUGCAAUGUAUCACAACAGUUUCCUACUCGUUCCUAAUAAAUGAUUCAGUCUACGGGAAAGUGCAACCUCACCGUGGCAUUAGGCAAGGAGACCCGAUCUCGCCCUAUCUGUUCAUCCUGUGUGGUGAAAUUCUUUCAGGCCUUUACAGAACAGCAGAGCUUCACGGAUCUAUGAGAGGAAUUCGCGUGGCCAGAGGUAGUCCCCACGUCAAUCAUCUUCUCUUCGCAGAUGAUACUAUGAUGUUCUGCAAUUUAUCAUCUGAAAGCUGCCUCUCUCUGCUCCAAAUCCUACAAGAAUACGAGAAAGUUUCAGGUCAAAAGGUCAAUAUAUCCAAAUCCUCUAUUACUUUCUCUGUCAAAACCCCACAAGAGGUUAAGAACUCAGCAAAACUCAUCUUGGGCAUUGAGAAAGAAGGAGGAGUGGGAAAAUAUUUAGGGCUUCCAGAACAUUUUGGAAGGAGGAAGAGGAACUUGUUUACCUCUAUAGUAGAUAGGAUCAGGCAGAGAGCCUCCAACUGGUCGACUCGAUUCCUAUCUCGAGCUGGCAAGCUCACUAUGCUCAAGCCUGUCCUGACUGCAAUACCCACCUACACCAUGUCAUGCUUCCAACUCCAGUAAGCCUCUGCAAUAGAAUCAAAUCUACACUUACUCGGUUCUGGUGGGAUCAUUCAGCAGAAAAGAAAAGCAUGUGUUGGGUGGCCCUGGACAAAUUAACCAAGCCAAAAGCCUCAGGGGGUUUAGGACCGAGAGAUAUUCAAUUAUUCAACCAAGCACUUUUGGGAAAAGUUGCCUGGAGAAUAUUAACCUCCCCCAACUGUUUACUUGCACGUGUUCUUACCGGGAAAUACUGCCAUAAGAAGAGCUUCCUAGACGCCCAACUCCCAGCAGUGUGUUCACAUGGUUGGAGGAGCAUCCUACAUGGCAGGGACCUACUCAAGGAGAACCUGAGAAAAGCAAUCGGCAACGGUCAGAAUACAAAAGUCUGGAAAGACACAUGGAUAUCAUUGGACAACAGUUCUAAGCCUAUGGGUCCAAUUCAUGAAUCUGCUCUCGAUAUGAGAGUCUCAGAUCUUCCCACUGAUGACUUACAAUGGAAAAAGGCGAGAAUUGAGCAAUACUUACCAGAUUUCAGCUCGCAGAUCCAAUGUAUAAAGCCAAGCAAGGUAGGGGCAGAGGACAUUUAUGUCUGACUCCCUCUUCAAACAUGAAUUUACUCAACCAAGUCUGGCUAUAACUCGCAUGCUCAACAAACUGUACCGUCGAAUCUCCACCUUCUAGCUAACCCCUCCUCACAGAAUGACCUGGAGUUUAAUUGGUUAAAAGAUGUUUGGUCAGCAAAAACGAACCCAAAGCUUAAGAUAUUCCUCUGGUCAAUCAUACAAGGGGCCUUACCAAUAGGCGCAAAGCUCAAAAGAAGGGGAAUGAUCUCCGCAGCUCACUGCCCCCGCUGCAACGAGGUAGAAACAUCAAUGCACACAUUCUUCCUCUGCCCCUUUGCUAAAGAAGUCUGGAACUACAUACCUCUCAAGUCACCAGUUCACAUAGCUGAGGACACUGAUUUCAGAUUGGAACUACUUCACUUCCGACAAGCAAUCUGUCUUCCCCCAACAGGAAUUCGAUCUCCCAUCCUCCCCUGGGUCUGCUGGUUCCUCUGGACGGCCAGAAACAAACUUAUUUUUGAAGACAAGAGCAGCCGUCCUGUGGAGAUAGCAACUAGAGGACUGUCAGCGGCUUUAGAAUGGGACGAAGCUCAAGAUGUGGAGAAAGAACAAAAGAGUAAUCACCUACCGCUCAAGGCCGCUCCAACACAGACGGAUCGAUCAAGCUACGAAAAUCCCUGCUUCGUAGACGCCGCGUGGGAUGUUUCCUCAAAGCAAGCAGGAGUCAUUUGAUGCAUACUCCUAUCAAGUAUCAACAAAACCAUCCAUACAUCUUUUGUUUUGCUUUUGUUAAAAAGACAGAAUAGCUACUGGCCAUAUAUUGAAGAAACAAGAAAACGAUCGAGCAAAGUCUGGGUUUUUCCUUACGAUCUCGCCCUGACUCCUGAGGAAUAUUAGUUGAAUAUUUAAUGUACUCACUAUCUAUGAUAGGCUCGAUCGUGAGUAUAUUCACGAGGAAGAGUUGAUUCUUCUGUCAUGAGGAAUGCUCUCACUAUUAUUUGAUUUCAAGAAGAUUGAUAUUUUGUUUAUUUUGAUUGAUUCUUAGAAAAGAGUUGAUUCUUUUUGUCAUGUUUGCAUAUAUUUCUCAUUUUGGAAGUCAUAAGGAAUAAACCAAAAAUAAGACUGUUCGCCGUUGAUUUUUCUUAAAAACGUUGAUGUUUUUUUUUAUUCUUACUAAAAAGAUUCAUUCAAUUAAGUCAUUUUGGUCUAGUGGUAAAGAAGUGCCGCUAAAGCUUUCGCCAUGGAUUUUUUUUUUAUUAAGUCAUUUCGGACUUUUCUCUUGGUCUUGUCUCAAGCAAGUACCCGAGCUGUCUACGGGGUUAGGUGGCUUAACGUUAUAGAACCGUCUCUCAGCGAAGCCAUCCAGGAACAAAAUGGUGUGGCGAGAUCAUCUACAGAAGCGGAGUAUCGUGCAGUUGCAAACGCAACAUCAGAAAUUAUAUGGAUUUGCAGUCUUCUCUCUGAGCUUGGGGUCUCGCUUCCAUCAGCUCCAGUCGUCUUCUGCGACAAUGUAGGAGCAACAUUCCUCUGUGCUAAUCCGAUAUUCCAUUCUCGCAUGAAACACAUCGCCAUUGACUAUCACUUUGUUCGGGGACAAGUACAACGCGGAGCUCUAACUGUUUCACAUGUCAACACUCGUGAUCAGUUAGCGGAUGCAUUAACGAAACCACUCACUCGAGCUCGCUUCUUGGAACUGCGGAACAAGCUUGGCGUGGCACCCACGCUGCAGCUUGAGAGGGUGUGUAAGAGAGAUACUAUAAAGAUCUCCUCUCAACUAUAGUAUAUACACAUUCCUCUGUUUUAGGAAAUGUUAGUUAUUAUCUAACUUAGUCUCCAAGACUAAACUCUGUAUAUAAACCUCUAUUGUACAUUACGUUCAAGAUAUCAAAAUACAUUUCCUAUACCCUAAAUAAGAUAAGUAAACACACAAAAAAGAGCAUUGCUCUAACUUAAAACCUAGUGAGUAAGAAUAAUAACAGUUUUCUCCAAUUUCGAUGAUCUCUCAGAUCCAACCAUUGCUCCCUUGCUCAACCACAGUAUAGCUUCUCCACAAUCUAAUCCCUACAAAUUCUUAUCUGUACAGCAACAACAACAACGCACAAUUCACGUUUUCAGUAACUCAUUUGAGCAGAUGCUCAAAGUUAUGGUUCCAAAUCAACAAUCUGAGACCUCACAAGGUAACAUAGAGUUUCAAUCUUCAAAAUCACAUAAGAAUGAAAAUUCUAACCAUAUAUUCACAAUUGCUUGGCAGAAACAGAGACCAAGAAAGUUCCCAUCCUCUACUUCGCGCCUUCGAUCCUCUCGUACACCUCUCCCAACUUCAAAAUUGCUCUCACCAGCUCCGUACACGAAGAUCCUUCACCUUCACUCGGAUCCACCUCCUCCACUCUCCGAUGCUUCCUCACCACAAACCCGCAGUCACCAGCGUCAUCAUCAUUGUCUAAUGUAGGAAACCAAAUAUGCAAAAUCAAAUACUUACUUCUGUCCUUUGUAAAAGAAACUUAGAUUAACUCUAAAAGUAAGGCAAGUCUCAGUCUGCCUCAAAAUCAAUGUGACAUAGUCUGCUCCAAAUUUUGAAACUCUCUUCAAAUUUUUUUGCUUCCUGUAAUGUCUACCCGCUGUGUUGCUUUUUUGGCUGUAUAUGUAACAUGCAAGGCUUUUAGGAGCUUGUGAUGAACAGAGGAAAACAGUUAACAACCUUGUUGUUCAUUGGCAUUGUAAACAAUUUGUUGAACUCAUCAAAAGAUUCUUAAGCUCCACAAUUUGUUUAAUUUAGCUGGUUUCGUUGAUGUUCCUUCUCGUACGUACUUAUCGUACCUUCCAACAAGAUUUGUCUACACUUCUCUGUUUUUGAUCUUCAUCUGCUUUUAGACCUCUAGAGGUCCUGACAAAAUCUAUUGGCUGACUAAUAAUAAUCUUAUUGUAGCAGCAGUUAGUAUACUUAAGUUAGACAACGAUUCGAGUCUUGAAGAGCGAGGUCAUGCUGAGAAGUUUAUGGAGUACCAGGUAUAGUUUCAAGAAUCUUUGACGAAUAUUAUGCUCUUGAUGAUCUCUUACUCUUUGACGAAUCAGCUAUGGAGCUUGCCCUAUCUUUGGAGAAACUCACUAAUUAUGAAAAGCUUCUCAUGUUGCAAAGUGUAAGUACCUUUUAUUGCAUCAUCAUUGAGUGGUAAUGCUGAGCCUUACGCAAAACAAUCCACUACCAAUUAAAUUGGUAAAAACAGGGUCGAAGCUAUCAAAGAUUGUCUCCUUGAGUAGCCUCACGAAUUCUAAAACAGAGCAAAAACUGGGUUCUGCAAUAAACAUAUUGAUUCACCGAGUUUGGUUACAUCUACAGACAAAACAAAAUUAUUAUUGGAGACGAUUUUCAGAAUUAAAUUAGUUAUUAGAAUUAGUUAGAACACAAGAUAUAUAUAGAAUAUCUCUAAUCUUGAAAGAUCUUAGUGUGCAUCAGACUCAUGGGUUUAGGUCUCACAAUCGACACAACUUCCAAUGAUGUAAUGCAUUUGAUGCAUAUCAGCAAAACCAUCGAUCCAUCUUUUGUUUUAUUUUUGUUAUAAGAGAGAAUAGCUACUGGCCAUAUAUUGAAGAAACAAGAACACGAUCGAGCAAAGUCUGGGGUUUUCCUUACCAUCUCGCCCUGAGGAAUACUAGUUGAAUAAUGUACUCACGAUGAUAUGGCUCGAUCAUAAGUAGAUUCACGAGAAAGAGUUGGUUCUUCUGUCAUGAAGCAUGUACUCACUAUUUAUUUGAUUUCAAGCAGGUUAAUAUUUUGUUCAUUUUGAUUGAUUCUUAGAAAAUAUUUGAUUUUUUUUUUGUCAUGUUUGCAUAUAUUUCUCAUUAUGAAAGUUAUGAGGAAUAAACCAAAAAUAAGACUUUUCUCCGUUGAUUUUUCUUGAAAACGUUGAUGUUUGUUUUUAUUCUUAUUUUUUAAAAAGAGAUUCUUUCUUAUUUUGAAAUCCCAUCAAAAUUAAACUAGUUUAGCAGUUAUCUCAAUUAGUUCUUUUUUUAAUUAAAGCAAGAGGAAUGUCAUAAAAUCCUGAUUUUUUAAAAAGAUAAAACAUUUACUAUCAAAUCGAAAGAUUACAAUAUAUGCAAAUGCAGGGGUCUCGUAAACGUUAGUUUUUAGGUCAAUAUGCAUGCGCGUCUUGUAAACGUUAAUUUAACUCCAAACAUACACCUAAGCAAAAUAAGACUUCGUAAAUUACGUCUUCUAUGGUGUGGACAGUUUUUUUUUUUUAAAAAUACUUGUAAUUAGUAAAGGGGACCAAUAUGCGCGGAAAUUUGACCUAAUAGUUUUCUCUCUGGCCCGAUAAUCGAGGUGCCGUCUCAACCGUUUCACUCCGACGCCGGUAGAGCCAUGGCUCGCCGGCGUCGGGCGUUUCAACCUCCGCGUCGUCCUCUUUCUUUUCGUAUCUGUUCAAGCUCAAGAUCCCGUGCUCUGUUCACUGUUCAUAUGACCCUUUCUUGGUCGAAGUUGUCUUCCAUUUCGUAUUUUUCCGGGGGCUCCCGACUACAGUUUUCACUCCCCUCCUCUACUCAACGCCAUCAACGCCAUAGCUCUGCUGGUCCGGCUUCCGUCAAGAAUCAGAUCUGUGAGGCUCAAUCUUCCUCUCCUCCCUACGUGUCUCCUCGGCUAGAAAGCCCCCUCCGACAUUCGUCUUCCAUACCACCACAAGUCCAACUUCAAGCUUCGGCUUCCGACGUCUACAAACCCGGUGUCCGUGGGGCUCAACAAUUAACUCGGAUUUUAGAUCUGGAAUUUUGUCAGUUGUCUCGGUUGUGUUCACCUUAUGUCUCCUCUAUCACCACUGUCGCUGGACUUCCUACUCCGCUAUCCAUUGUCAUCAUCUCAACCAUAUCAGUUAAACAUCGCCGCUUCUUUGCUCCGCCGUGAUUCCUCGCAGUUCAUCGGGUUCUUUGACCGAGGAAGGCUGAGUCAUUGUGUUCAUGAGAUGGGCUACUUUCAUUUUGCAGUGAGCUUGACAAGCCCAAUAAAGCUCCAAGGCUCCCAUCUCUUCCUAGCAGUUUCACAGCCCACUUUGAUGUGGGGUGGAUUGGUCUCCUUGACUAAUCUUCUAAAAAUGUUUGGUGGAUUCACUAGCGUUUUUACAGAGACAUAUAUACACACAAAGUUUCAUCUCUCUUGUUCGAAGAGUAGCCUUUCUUUCCAUUUACCGGUGGGUUCACCGGGACCAUCAUGUUCAUCCUUUGCUUCCUUUUUAAGGAGUACUUUCCCUCCAAUCUUGUGGAGGUGUUUGUCCAUAUCUAUAACCGUCUUGCUAUCUUGUGGAGCGGUCCGUUCGGGGCCUGAAGAUGCAGCGGGAUUCGUUUCGACGAGUUUCCGAGGUGUGGAUUGGAUGUCAACUUCACAAUUUAAGCUGACUAUUUCUCUGCUGUCCGACCAUGUCGUGAAAGCUACACUGACGCAUUCAAGCACCGUCUUGAGUUCGCUGUCAUCUUCUUCUUUUGAAGACCUAUCCUUUUUAUCUUAUGUUGGUGUAGUUUAUCUUUUCAAUUAAAGCGGAUGGAUAAUUCCCUCUAUUAUUUGUAAUCAAGCAACUUGAACUUAAUGAAAAAGUUGUGUUUCGAAAAAAAAAGAACGAUUUUGCUUUCGACGUGAUGAAUAUUGGAUUUAUCUCUCUGGAUAUUUUUUGUGUGGAAUAAAAACGAAGUCUAUUAUUGCGCUAUAAAGAGAUGGGCAUAGAAGCAUGUUACUCAUCACCAAUUUCCCUUUUCAUUUCAAAGUUAAAUAAGCUUAAAGAAGAAUGAAAGGCUUUUGGAACAUAACGAGUACCAUUUCUCUUACUCUUUCUAUACUUUUCUUAUUCGGCUACAGUUAUGAGGACGUGUCUACGGUUCUUAAUACGCACUUGUGUCGUCCGGAACAAAGGGAUGCACUUCUCCAAUUCAAGACCGAGUUCGAGGUUCUAAACUCUUCCUUUGCUUAUGGUUGUUAUGAUAUCAAUGAUGAUAUACUAGUGUCUCAUGGGAAGACGGACUCAUGGGCGAAUAACAGCGACUGCUGUAAUUGGGAGGGUAUCACGUGCGAUGCCAAAUCCGGUGAAGUGAUCGAGCUAGACCUUAGUUGCAGCUACCUACGUGGCACGUUUCAUUCCAAUAGCAGUCUUCAAAGCCUUCAUUCUCUAACCACUCUAAACCUUUCACGUAAUGAUUUCAAUGGUCAAAUAAUGUCUUCAAUUGGAAACCUUUCUCAUAUCACCUCUCUCGACCUUUCACGUAAUCGUUUUUCGGGUCCACUUCCAUCUUCGAUUGGAAAUCUUUCUCAUCUCACCAAUCUUAACCUUCGUUUGAAUCAAAUUUCGGGCAAGAUUCCAUCUUCUAUUGGAAAUCUUUAUAACCUCACUUAUUGUUGGAAAUCUUUAUAACCUCAAAUUGAGCCUAUUGGACCUUUCUAGGAAUGAUAUUGUUGGAGAAAUCCCAUCUUCUUUUGGCAAUCUAAACCAGUUGACCAGCUUAGAUGUUUUUCUCAAUAGGCUCAAUGGAAGCUUUCCCAUUGCACUACUGAAUUUGACAAAUUUGUCAUCUUUAGAACUCAGCUACAAUCAGUUCACAGGAACAAUUCCUCAUAACAUCACUUCACUAUCCAAAUUGACGACCUUUGAUGCAAGUAACAACGCUUUCACUGGGACCCUGCCUUCUUCUCUCUUCACCAUUCCUUCUAUUGAAUAUGUUAUAUUGUCUGAUAACCAACUCAACGGUAUUCUUGAGCUUGGGAAUAUAUCUUCACCACCUAAGCUGCAAAGGUUAGACGUUAACAGAAACAACUUGAGAGGGCCAAUCCCGGCCACAAUAUCCAAAUUUACCAACCUUGUCGACCUUCGCCUUUCCCACUACAAUGCACAAGGUCCAGUUGACUUUAGUAUCUUCUCGCAUCUCAAGUGGCUCGAACUUCUUGACCUAUUCUAUUUGAACACGACCACUACGAUUGACUUGAAUGAUAUCUUGUCAUAGUUUAAGAGGCUCACUGGGCUGGUUCUCUCAGGCAACCAUGUUUCAGCCACAAACAAGAGUCCAGUUUCAGAUACCCCUUUGCGAUUCUUGAAUACGUUGCAUUUGUCAGGCUGUGGUAUCACCGAGAUUCCGGAAUUUGCAAGAACGCAAAAUAUGCCUGGCUGGUUAUGGACGCUACCAAAUCUGUUUUACCUGGAUCUUUCCAACAACACUUUCACUGGCUUCCAAAACUCAACUACAGUUUCACCUUCAAGGCUAUAUAGCAUAAACGUGCUUGCCUCAGACAACAAUUUCACGGGAAAUAUCCCCUCUUUCAUAUGCGAUUUGCCCACUUUAUACAUUCUUGAUUUAUCAAACAAUAACUUCAGUGGUUUAAUCCCUCGCUGUUUGGGAAAUCUCAAGCUUACUCUUGAAGUUCUAAACCUUCGUCAAAAUCGUCUUCAUGGAGGUCUUCCGGAGAAUAUAUUUGAAAGCUUAAUAACGCUUGACGUCGGUCAUAAUCAACUGACGGGAAAGCUUCCAAGAUCUUUGAUCCAUUCCCCUUUUCUUGAAGUUCUGAACGUGGAAAGCAACAUAAUCAAUGAUACGUUUCCGUUUUGGUUGAGUUCUCUACCACGUUUAACAAUUCUUGUGUUAAGCUCCAAUGCCUUCCAUGGACCGAUAUAUCACAUAAUUACUUCAAUGGAACUUUGUCAUCUGACUACUUUGAGAGGUGGGGUGCUAUGUCAUCACUUGAGUCUACAGUUUAUUAUGAUAAGUACGGAAAGUACAUGAGCGAUAAUUCUUACUUUGACUCAAUGGUUUUGAUGAAUAAAGGGUUAGUGAUGGAGCUACCAUUUAUCCCAAAAGUCUACACAGCACUCGAAUUUUCAGGAAACAAACUUGAAGGAGAGAUCCUAAGGUCCAUUGGUUUAUUGAAAGAGCUUCUUGUGCUCAACUUGUCGAACAAUGCUUUCACUGGCCACAUCCCUUCAACUCUGGGAAACCUGACAGCUCUUGAGUCAUUGGACGUUUCCCAAAACCAGCUUUCAGGAGAAAUUCCGCAAGAGCUAGGGGAACUCUCAUUCCUUUCUUACAUGAACUUCUCUCAUAACCAGCUUGCGGGUCUAGUACCAGGAGGCACUCAGUUUCGAAGGCUGAAUUGCACUUCCUUUGAGGGGAACCAGGGACUUUUUGGCCCUUCUCUUGACGAAAUUUGCAUAGAUAUUCACAUGCUGAGACCACAUGAAACGCCAGAAUCAGAGGAAGAAGAGGAAGAGGAGGUGUUGAGUUGGAUAGCAGCUGCAAUAGGAGUCAUACCUGGUAUUGCGUUUGGAUGGGUGAUUGGAUACAUACUUUUUUCCUACAAACCAGAGUGGUUCAUGAACCCUUUUGCCCGAAACAAGCGCAGAAUCAGCAGCACCACAACUCAUUAAAAAGGUAAUUUUCCAGAGGUUUAAAUCAACUUGUUAGCAAACACUGGUACAAAUAAAAAUAUUAUAGUGAAGUCACCUGAAUAAACCUUCUUCUUUUUGGUCUUUCAGGUCUUUUAUAAGCUACCUAAGGAAUCUGGAAGAAGAAAUCCAAAGGAACCAUUAUGUCUAUCCGUAUCAAAUAAGAUUUGGGGUAUCGUUUCUGGUUUAGCUUGGUGUUUUCUCAUUACUCUGUUUUUUUUCUUUUUUGUUUUUUUACUUUGUUCCUCUGGUACUGUUUCCGUUUUAGCUUGGCGCGUAUUUUCUCUACAUCUCUGUUUUUUACUUUUCAGCAAACUUCUUUUUUCUCUGUAAUUGAACAACUAUGUUUCUUACGCUAAAAAUUAUAUGCACAAUAAAAAAUGUGUAUCUUUUCCCCUUUCCUGCAUCUAACAUCAUCUGUAAAGACGUGAGAUGAGAAAAUAAACAGAAGAUCCAGAUCAACCCUAUAAACUAUUGAAGUUAAACUUGAUUUUGGGCUAUCCUUAAUUAUGGGUUUCAAUAAUCUUAUUUGGCUAAACCCAAAGUUAAGUUAAGGUUCUAGAAUCUCUUUAGAAAAAUCAUAAAAGAUUAUCACCUGCUCAAGUGUUCGCCUCGGUGUGUUGGAUCUCUCAGGAAACCAUGUUUCAGCCACAAACAAGAGUCCAGUUCCCGUUUCCCCUUUGUUGUAUCAGUUGCACUUGUCGGGCUGCGGUAUCACCAAGCUUCCGGAGUUUGUAAGAUUGAAAAAUUUGGACAGUCUAGACAUUUCCAACAAUAAAAUCAAAGGGCAAAUGCCUGGCUGGUUAUGGACGCUACCAAAUCUUACUUACCUGGAUCUUUCCAACAACACUUUCACUGGCUUCGGAAACUCAAUGAAACAUGGGCUAUCUAUGGGAAAAUUGUUUGCCUCCAACAACAAUUUCACAGGAAAUAUUCCCUCAUUCAUAUGCGAUCUGCGUGGUUUAUCCAUUCUUGAUUUAUCAAACAACAACUUCAGUGGUGUAAUCCCUCCUUGUAUGGAAAAUCUCUAUCUGACAGUUCUAAGCCUUCGUCAAAAUCGUCUCCAUGGAGGUCUUCCAGAGAAUAUAUGUCAAUUCUCAACAACGCUUGAUGUCGGUCAUAACAAACUGACAGGGAAGCUUCCAAAAUCUUUGAUCAAUUCCUCUUUUCUUGAAGUUCUGAACGUGGAAAGCAACAUUAUCAAUGAUACGUUUCCAUUUUGGUUGAGUUCUCUACCACAACUAAAAAUUCUUGUGUUACGCUCUAAUGCCUUCCAUGGACCGAUACAUUAUACUUCGUUCCCUAAAUUGCAAAUCGUCGACAUAUCCCACAAUCACUUCAAUGGAUCUUUGUCAUCAGACUACUUUGUGAAGUGGAGUGCUAUGUCAUCAUUGGGGGACAAUUAUGAUCAGCGGUUUGACAAGUACAUGGGGGAUUCCUAUUACCAUGAUUCAAUGGUGUUGAUGAACAAAGGUUUAGAGAUGGAGCUAGUACGUAUCCUAAAGAUCUACACAGCACUCGACUUUUCAGGAAACAAAUUUGAAGGAGAGAUCCCAAGGUCCAUUGGUCUAUUGAAAGAGCUCCAUGUGCUCAACUUGUCCAACAAUGCUUUCACCGGCCACAUCCCUUCAUCUAUGGGAAACCUGACGGCUCUUGAGUCACUAGACGUUUCCCAAAACCAGCUUUCAGGAGAAAUUCCGCUAGAGCUAGGGGAACUCUCAUUCCUUUCCUACAUGAACUUCUCUCAUAACAAGCUCACUGGUCUAGUACCCGGAAGCACUCAGUUUCGAAGGGUGAAUUGCACUUCCUUUGAGGAUAAUCCGGGACUUUUUGGCCCUUCUCUUGACGAAGUUUGCAGAGAUAUCCACAUGCCAACACCGCAUGAAACACCAGAAUCAGAGGAAGAAGAAGAGGAAGAGGUGUUGAGUUGGAUAGCAGCUGUAAUAGGAGUAAUACCUGGUAUUGCCUUUGGAUGGGUGAUUGGAUACAUACUUUUUUCCUACAAACCAGAGUGGUUCAUCAACCCUUUUGUCCUAAACAAAAGCAGACGCAACCGCACCACAACUCAUUAAAAAGGUAAUUUUCAAGAGUUUUAAAUCAACUUGUUAGCAAACACUGGAAGAAACAAAAAUAUUAUAGUCAAAUCACCUGAAUAAGCCUUCUUCUUCUUUUUUUGUACAGAUCUUUUAUAGCCUGCCUGAGGAAUCUGAAAGAAGAAAUACAAAGGAACCACUAUGUCUAUCCGUAUCAAAUAAGAUUUGGGGUAUCGUUUCUGGUUUUGCUUGGUGUUUUUCUCAUUACUCUGCUUUUUUACUUUUUUUAGCAAACUUCUUUGUUCCUCUGGUACUGUUUCCGUUUUAGCUUGGUGUGUUUUUUCUCUAUCUCUCUUUUUUACGUUUUAGCAAACUUCUUUGUUUCUCUGUAAUUGAACAACAACUAUGUUUCUUACGCUGAAAAUUACAAGCACAAAGACAUGCAUUUUUCCCCUCUUCAGUAUCUAAAACAUCAACUGUGUAGACUUGAGAUGAGGAAUAAACAGAUGAUCCAGAUAAAAGCUAUAAUCAACACAGGGUUUAGAAAAGGAUGUACAUAUUAUAUAUGGAUAUUUCGAUUGUUCAUAUCAAUGAGACACAUUAAUUCAUAGAAACUAUAGACUUUGCAAAUAUAAUUAUCAAGAUUCCAUUUUGUGUAUAUACAAAGUUCAAAUGGUUUUAAGCUUAUGAUUUUCGAAUGUGACAAUACAAAAAAAAAAAAAAAAAGUUUGCGUUGAUUUAUCUUGUGAUUGGUAAUAUUCUCAUUGAUAAUGAAUGAUGAGUAGAAGAGGAAGAGAAAUGGCUAGUAAACGGGUCUUGUUUUCUCCAUGUCCACACUUCCUUGUUCCUAAUUCUUUUUUUUUUUUUGAAUGAAUGUAAAAUUUUAUUCAAUCAAAACUUUGUACAUCAAGUGCUUCUGUUGUGUUUGUAAGAAACUUCUAUACUCUAGAUUCUAUGGAAAAAAAACCCCUUCAUGGUGGUCUCUCUCUUGUUGCAAACCAAGUGGUCAAGCUCUCCUCAAGAUACUUUUGCCCCAGCUCCUUGACUGAGAGUAGCUUGAGUCUGAUUGUUUUAUCUACAAACUUGGUGAUGACAUUCACAGUUUGUGGCUGUUCUCCAUGUCUACGGGCAUUUAGCUCUCUCCACAGCGCAUGUACCGUAGCUUGAAAGGUGUAGCGGAUAAGGAACUUCUUCGUCGGUGGCAGGCUUGUACGUUGGAGAUGAUCUCUACAACGUCAUUCCAAGAUUUGUAGAGAAUCCCACCAGCCAGUGAUUUCCAGAUUUGUCUUGAGUAGUUGCAGCUGAAGAAGAGAUGGUGGCAGGUUUCAUCAGCUGCAUCACAGAGCACACAGGCUGUGUUUGCUGUAGCGUUCCACCGGUUUAUCCUAUCACAUGUCUCCAUUCCUAAGCGCUUCUAAUUCAUUCUCAAUCUCAUUCAGACGGCUCUCACGGUGUCGUCUUCUUCGGUGCUUACUCAGGACAUCUGCAACAACAGCCUUAUCAGAUAUGCCCAGAGCAAUGCACCCUCGUUCUCCUAUCACAUCCUUCAAGCAGCCAAGCUUCGACCACGAGUCAUACCAGAAGGAGGUUUCUCUUCCAUUCCUCACUUCUCUUCUGAAAAACUGUUUCGCAAGAUCGCCUAGUUUCAGUAAUUUAUGCCAUACCCAUGAUUUGAGUUCAUACUCACUGACCAGAACGAUCCCUUUCGAAUCAGAUAACACUGCACCCACCGGACCCAAAGCGAAUUUCGAGAGGACAGAAUUCUCCAUAUUAGUUUUAAGGCGUGAACUGUGUUUACCUCCUUAAGAGGUCUCAGACUCAGUCCUCCUUCUUGUUUGUAAUUCAACCUUUGAUUGUUUGAUUAAAUAUGUAUAUUCUUAAAUUAACAAUAACCAAAUAUAUAUAUAUACUCAACUAAAAUUUGGGUUUAACGAUCAUUGUCCAUUUUAUAAGAAAAUUCCUCUUGGAUCUUUCUUUUUAUAUUUUUCUCGACUGACUUUUUAAUCGAAUCCAAGUCUUGCUUCUCUUUGUUUUGGUGUCCACGAUCUCAAAAAAGAAACAGCCAACUGAUUGGUCACUUUCACAAUCCCUCUGGUACGUUAUCCUUUGAUUUUUCAACAUUAUACUUAAAGCUCAAUACCAAAAUCUCAAAGAUAAGCCACUACAUGAUCAUGAUGUGUGUGACCUACGAGCUUGGACUCGAACCCACGAGCCAAUCAUGUAAGUAGCAAUGAAAAGAUCAAGCCAACACAAAUGAUGAAUAGGCCCAUGCCUUGCCCCCAUUCUGUUCCCUUCUUUAUUAAUCUACAGAAACAAAAUCUUCUUCAGAAGAAGAUGCGUGAGCUUUCAACACGAUAAAGAUUGAUGCAAAGUCAUAUAAGGAAACAGCCAAAUCAAUAGCUUGGUGGGUUUGGUCUUCCAAAAGUAAAUUAUGGAAGAACAUGAAUGUCUCUGAUGUACAUUGUCCUGGAAAGAGAACUCUGAGACCUGAUUACGCAAAAGACUAAUUGCUGAUCACAAAAAAAGGAGAAGAGAACGCUAUUUGGAACUGCAGGCAUUGAUACACAAACCAUAAUACAUUAAACACUUGACAAAAGUACAUGCUGAUAUGUCUGUCAGAUUACUACAAGAGUUUCUUUCACCAAUCUCCUUUGCUACCAAUGUACCCUAAAUAAGAUAAGUAAACACAAAAAAAAAAAAGCAUUGCUCUAACAUGAAACCUAGUGAGUAAGAAUAAUAACAGUUUCUCCAAUCUCCAUGACCUCACAGAUCCAACCUGAUACAGAUAUUCAAGUGGUGCGGGACACGUCAUCAGCCACGUCAGAAGAGAGAGAGGACGCAAGAAGAAGUUUGUUACGAUUUCAAUUAAAAAGAGAGGGACGCUUUCAUUUUCAUUCAUUGGAGUAGUAUGAACAUUUUCUUUUCUUUUCUUUUCUACUUUCCUGGGAAAUCCAGUGAUUGAGUCGCUAGUCUGACUAGUUGCUUAACAUUGUAUUUCUUGAAUCGGUGUUUCCUGAACAUUGGAUUCUUCUUUCCUAUUCAUAAAUACAAAUACAAAUUAUUCUAUCAAAGGUAUCAGAGCUUCGACGCUUCUCGGCGAUGGCGGAAACACGAGCUCAAACUAUGAUGAAGGAAGCAACAGCUCGCGGUAUAGAAGAAAGCUUGGGAUCGCGAAUCGAUCACAUGCUGGAGAGAACACAUCAAUUAGAGGUUACGGUGGCGGAUCAGAAUACGAAGAUGGAUAAGAAUAUCGCAGAUAUGUUCGAAGCGAUUCGCUUGAUCCAAGGGAGCAAACAUCAGGCGUCGACAAGUAAUGAACAAAACACUGGUAGAGGAUCGCCGGUAGUUUCUCAUACUCCGAUCCUUCCACACGGUUCAAACGAGAUGGCGAGAGGCAGAUCUGGUUUUCCGUACAAUUACGCAGGUAUCACUCGUAUGGCGAAAUUGGAUUUUCCCAGAUUUGAUGGUGAACGCUUGAAGGAAUGGUUAUCUAAAGUAGAACAGCUAUUUGUGAUGGAUAAUACACCUGAGGAGUUGAAAGUGGGUUUAGCAUCGAUACAUUUCGAUGGUCUAGCCUCUACUUGGCAUCAGGCGGUGAUUCAAUCUGAGAUAAGUCAUGAUAUCCUUCGGGAUUGGCCGUUCUACAAGGAGUUGUUGAAAGAGAGAUUUGAGGAAGUUUUAGAUGAUCCUAUUGCAGAGUUGAAAGCAUUGCAGGAAACUGAUGGUAUUGUUGACUAUCAUGGGAAGUUUGAGCUUAUCAGAACGAGAGUCAAGCUUUCUGAGGACUACUUAGUCAGUGCAUAUCUUGCAGGACUGAGAGUUGAUACGCAAAUGCACAUCAGGAUGUUUCAACCACAAACAGUCCGUCAAUGCUUAAUGUUGGGUCGUCUAUAUGAAAAGGCACAUCCAAAGAAGGUCGUUUCUCAAGGGUGGGUGCCUCAGAAGGGUGGAAUGCAGAGUAGAGGGUUAUUACCAGUAAAGAAGGAUACAGAAGCAAAAAUGGAAUUUCAGAAAGUAGCAGAUAAACUUCCUGAUAAGCCAAGACCGUUUCUCUCACAAGAGGAAAUGAGCAAGAGGAGAGCUGCCGGUCUUUGCUACUUCUGUGAUGAGAAAUAUUCACCAGGCCACUACUUGAAACAUAAAAAAACACAACUGUUUAUGCUUGAGUGUGAGGAAGAGGAGGAAGUGUUGCAGAAUGAAGUGGAGUUGAGUGACGAAGUAGAAUCAGAGGUUGCUCAUAUCUCUGUUAAUGCAGUAGCAGGCAUUUCUGAUUAUCAAACGAUGAGAGUGAAAGGAAUUCAUGGAAAACGUUCAUUAUUCAUUCUCAUUGACUCUGGUUCAACUCAUAAUUUCAUGGAUGCAUUGGUAGCUGAGAAAUUGGGUUGUGAGUUGAAGCCAACUGGUAUUUCAAGAGUUGCAGUGGCUGAUGGUAGGAAGUUGGGAGUGAGUAAUAAGAUUGAUGACUUUCACUGGAAUUUUCAGAGUAUCUCUUUCAAAGCUGAUUUUAUGGUCAUACCUUUGGGAGGUUGUGAUAUGGUUCUUGGAGUUCAGUGGUUACAACAAUGGGGACCUAUCACGUGGGACUUUCAGAAUCUGACAAUGCAGUUUAAGAUGGGGAGGAAGGGCGUUUUGUUACAUGGGAUUAAAGAUGGUUCUGUUCGAGAAGUGAAGUCAGCUAAGCUGAACAGAUUGAGAGAAUCCGAGGUUCAGUUAGCAAUGAUAUCGGUGCAGCGAAUUGAUACUGAAUUACAAGCGUCUGCAUACACUAUGGAGAUGCAGAAUACCAACACAGAGAAAUUAUAUCCUGGUAUUUCAAACGCUUUACAAGAGUUUGAAGAUAUUUUUGAGGAACCAAAAGCUCUACCUCCUUUUCGCAAGAAUCAUGACCAUAAGAUACCACUGCUGGAAGGGUCUAAUCCGAUUAAUCAGCGGCCAUACCGGUAUGCAGUGUAUCAAAAAAAUGAAAUAGACAAGCUGGUUCAAGAGUUAUUGGAUGCAGGGACUAUUCAACCUAGUUCAAGCUCAUAUGCUUCUCCUGUGGUUUUGGUUAAGAAGAAGGAUGGGUCUUGGAGGUUAUGUGUUGAUUACCGUGGCCUGAAUGGGAUGACAGUGAAGGAUCGUUUUCCUAUUCCGUUAAUAGCAGAUUUAAUGGAUGAACUGGGAGGAUCAAAAGUGUAUUCCAAGAUUGACUUACGUGCAGGCUACCAUCAAGUGAGGAUGAACACAGAUGAUAUUCAUAAAACUGCUUUUAAAACUCACAGUGGCCAUUAUGAAUAUCUGGUGAUGCCUUUUGGUCUCACAAAUGCACCUGCUACAUUCCAAGGUCUAAUGAACACAGUGUUUAAAAGUCUCUUAAGGAAGUGUGUUUUGAUCUUCUUUGAUGAUAUAUUGGUGUAUAGUUCAUCAAUGGAAGAGCAUGAAAAGCAUUUGAAAAGCGUUUUUGCAUUAAUGAGAAGUAACAAGCUCUUUGCGAAGAUGAGUAAAUGCGCCUUUGCCACUGACAGAGUUGAGUAUUUGGGGCAUUACAUACAGGCAGAAGGAAUUUCAACUGAUCCUAAUAAGAUCAAGGCUGUUGCAGAGUGGGCUAUUCCGGUAUCUUUGAAGCAGUUACGGGGGUUUCUCGGUCUAGCAGGGUAUUACAGAAGCUAUGUCAAGAGUUUUGGUAUUAUUGCUAGACCCUUAACAGCUUUGACCAAGAAGGAUUGUUUUGGAUGGUCGGAAGAAGCAACAGAAGCUUUCAAUAAUUUGAAACGAGCUCUGUGCGAAGCUCCAGUGUUAGCGCUGCCUCGUUUUGACUUACCCUUCGUUGUUGAAACUGAUGCGUGUGGAGAGGGUAUAGGUGCGGUGCUAAUGCAAAAAGGCCACCCUAUUGCUUACAUCAGUCGUCAUCUUAAGGGUAAGCAACUGCAUCUUUCUAUCUAUGAGAAAGAACUUUUGGCAGUGGUGUUUGCAGUUCAAAAAUGGCGUCAUUAUCUUCUUACUGGUCAUUUUAUAAUCAAAACGGAUCAGCGUAGUUUGAAGUACUUGCUUGAACAGAGAUUGAAUACUCCUAUUCAGCAACAAUGGCUGCCAAAACUCUUGGAAUUUGACUAUGAGAUCCAGUAUAAACAGGGUAAAGAGAACCUUGUUGCUGAUGCUUUAUCAAGGAAGGAAGGUUCUGAAGUGUUGCACAUGGCAAUGACUGUUUUGGAGUGUGAUUUGAUGUUACAGAUUCAACAAAAUUAUGAUUCUGAUCCAACAACAAAGGAGAUUAUUGAAGCGUUGAAGUUGAGUUCGAGAAGUAAAAAACACUUUACAUGGUCUCAAGAGAUAUUAAGGAGGAAGAGUAAGCUGGUUGUGCCGAAUAAUACUAUUCUGCGUAACAAGAUCUUAGAUUGGAUGCAUAGUUCUUGCGGUGGAGGUCAUUCCGGACGUGAAGUUACGAGACAGAGAGUGAAAGGUCUGUUUUAUUGGAAAGGCAUGACCACAGAUAUUCAAGCUUUCAUACGCAGCUGUGAGGUUUGUCAAAGAUGCAAGUAUGACACUGCAGCUUAUCCUGGUCUGAUCCAACCUUUACCAAUUCCUGAGUUGAUUUGGACAGACAUUUCCAUGGAUUUUAUCGAUGGAUUACCUUCUUCUGCGGGUAAAACAGUGAUUUUGGUGGUGGUUGACAGGUUAUCUAAGGCCGCUCACUUCAUUGCUCUCUCUCAUCCGUAUACUGCAGCAUCAGUGGCUCAAGCUUUUCUCAACAAUGUGUUCAAGUUACACGGCUUCCCAAGAUCUAUUGUCAGCGAUCGUGAUGCAGUUUUCUUAAGUGAUUUUUGGAAAGAGCUGUUUGCUUUGCAGGGUGUAGCACUGAAUUACUCAAGUGCGUACCAUCCUCAGAGUGAUGGACAAUCUGAGGUGGUUAAUCGCUGCUUGGAGACAUAUUUGAGGUGCAUGUGUAGUGAUGAACCACAUCUUUGGAGUCGGUGGUUGCCUCUAGCUGAGUUUUGGUACAACACGAACUAUCACACAGCUAUUCAGAUGUCUCCUUUUGAAGCUGUGUAUGGUCAAGCUCCUCCACAACACUUACCUUAUCUACCUGGAGAGACUAAAGUGGCAGUGGUAGCUCGGUCGUUGGAAGAAAGGGAGAAGAUGUUAUUGGUCUUGAAGUUUCAUCUCUUGAGAGCUCAGCAUCGUAUGCAACAGGUUGCUAAUGAUCAUCGCACUGACAGGUCUUUCAAUGUUGGUGAUUAUGUCUUUGUGAAGUUGCAACCUUACAGGCAAAACUCCGUAGUUCACCGAAGUAAUCAGAAGCUAGCACCAAAAUAUUAUGGGCCUUAUGAGAUCAUUGAUCGUUGUGGGAAGGUUGCUUACAAGUUGAGGCUUCCGGAGUCUUCUCAAGUCCAUCCGGUUUUUCAUGUUUCACAACUUAAGAUAGUGGUGGGGGAUGUCCAUACUUCAACGGCUUUGCCUUCUCUUAACAAUGAGUUGUUGGUUAAGGAACCGGAGUUUAUCAUUGAGAGGAAAAUGGUUAAAAGGCAGAACAAACCUGCAACAAUGGAUUUGGUGAAAUGGAAGAAUAGACCUGCAGAGGAUUCAACGUGGGAGCUUUUGUAUGAUCUGGAGAAGCGCUUUCCUGAUACAAACCUUGUGGACAAGGUUGUCUAAACAGGGAGGAUUUGAUACAGAUAUUCAAGUGGUGCGGGACACGUCAUCAGCCACGUCAGAAGAGAGAGAGGACGCAAGAAGAAGUUUGUUACGAUUUCAAUUAAAAAGAGAGGGACGCUUUCAUUUUCAUUCAUUGGAGUAGUAUGAACAUUUUCUUUUCUUUUCUUUUCUACUUUCCUGGGAAAUCCAGUGAUUGAGUCGCUAGUCUGACUAGUUGCUUAACAUUGUAUUUCUUGAAUCGGUGUUUCCUGAACAUUGGAUUCUUCUUUCCUAUUCAUAAAUACAAAUACAAAUUAUUCUAUCACAACCACUGCUCGUUGCUCUACCAGAGUAUAGCUUCUCCACAAAUCUAAUCCUACAACUUCUUCCCUGUACAACAACAACACAAUUCAACUCAAUUGAGUAGAUGCUCAAAGAUAUGGUUCCAAAUCAACAAUCUGAAGCCUCAGAAGCUUAAAGAUUCAAUCUUUACAAGCACAUAAAAAUGAAGCUUCAAAAUCGUUCUCGCCAGCUCUCUACACGACGAUCCUUCACACGGAUAUUGGCUAAAUCUCCUAAAUGACUUUAAAAGCUUUAGAACAAGCAAAAGUCACAAAAGUCUAGUUGGCUAAAUAUUGGCUCUUUUUGAUUACUUCCGUUGUACAAAUCUCAUUUUUUUGUUCUCAGUAUUUCGUUAUUUCACGAGCUACUUAAGUACUAACUUCACAUUCGAUUGAGUUUGUUCUCAGAAUAUUUUUUGGAUAUGGGACGGUUCUAUAUAGUUUAUGGCUGUGAGGGUUGGCGUGGGGAUUGUAUUUGCCGAAGUUCAAAAGACUUCCCACUCCUUUUAGUUCCCGUCUUUACUUUUCGACUCAAGACUGGCUUACGUUUUCUUCUUGUAAAGAAGGUUCUCUCAGACUUUUCUCUUGGUCUUCUCAAAAGCAAGUACACGAGCUGACCUACACGGUAAACUGGUAGUCUGAUAGACCCGUAUCAAUCAAUGAGGAGGCAACUCUGCUUUCUGCAUUCAAGCAUACUAUUAAAUAUGCCAUGAGAAAUAUCCACACAUGAACUUAAUAUCGAUUAGGAAAAUUGUAUCGCAAAUGUAAACCUAAGUAAAUAAGUCUUUAGUAAGUACUUGUUGGUUGGUUUGAAAUUUGUUUGAAACUUCUCGUAAUUAAUGCAAGGGACCGACCAAUCUGUGUGGAAAUAGAUUAGUGAACACAAAAAAUUGAAGUUCAUGUGUAUGCUGAGCGUUUGGCUGAGGAAGGUAAAGCUACCUGCAAUGAGAUGCUUUCCACUAAGGAGUCUGCUCUGAUGUAUGCUGAGCGUUUGGCAGAGCUUGCUCCCGGAUGGGUAUAUGAGACUGCACAACCUCCUAAUUUUCAUACAGCUCAGAAUAAGUAUUACUUCUUUUGUCUGUUUGAUUAUUAUAAGAAAUUGCCAUUUCUUUGUUGUUAUUUUCCUUGAUGCGUUUUACCUUCAGAUGGUGGUCACUUGUUGAGAAGUCAUGGGGAAUAGUCCAAACAUAUCCACAAAUCUUGCCUUUUUACUCGGAUUUCAAUCAGGUAAUCUGAGAUUGAUCUAGUCUUUCUUCCUAUCAGUUAUCUGAUGCUCCAUGGUACAACAUAUCUUGCCAAAGUCUCCAGGUUCAACCAUCUUAUAGUCAUUCAUUGUACAUAUAAUAUUAUCUUCUCAUCUGAUUGUUGUGUUAUUCACGUCAGCCACUCCUAGAGUUCAAGGAAGACAAGUUCUAAACUUGGACUCCUGCUUCGUUUCUCAUCCCCAUCACACGAAACUAAAUCAAUACUUGUGGCCCCACAAGAACCAAUCCCCAUAUUAGUAGAUCACAUGUUCUUGAAGUGCCUUGUCAUGGAUGGACACACACUGAUUGAAAUCUUUGCCUUUUGCUACGGACCAUAGAACUCGACAAAGACAUCAGAGUACGUUGCAUUGCUCGGUCACAUCUCAAUCAAAGAUCAUGUUCAGCUCCUCCAGCAAAACUUCGUUUCCUUACAUCAUGGGUCAUCGAGGCUCAUAACAUACAGCUUGUACCGUGUAAUUCCGGUUCUAAGAUCCUCAGGGUUAAGCUAGAAUGGAGACAGAAACAGCGUGAAGACUCUGUUCUCCCAGUGUACAAUGUGUAUGCAGAGAGUGUGAAGUCAACUGAUGUACUAAGAUCGAGGAAGGUUUUGGAGAAACCAAGAAGCGAGAGAGUGUUCCUCGGAAUCUCUCACGUACCAGCCUACUACGUUUCGGAACUGGUGCUAGAUUCGGACGUGAAAGGAGUCAGCUUCGUGGUUCAAUCCUGUGGUGAAGAUGGUUCAUGGAUGAAGGUAGAUGAUUCCCCUAACCUUCUUGUGGACUUGGAAGGUCUCUCGUAGGUUGCUUGAAACUAUGUAUGAAACGAUUAAUAAUGUAUAUUACAAAAAUACAUUAAUAUAGAAAGUGGGGAAAAACAUAAUAAAAAAAUCUGAACUAGUCUUACCAACUAGUCUCCUCCAUAUGUGAACUAGUCUCUUUUCUGUAUAUUUUAUCGAAUGAAAGUGGGAUAAUUAUCACCAAACUUGUUAUUAUGGACUGAGAAAGAAAAAAUGCGGAAACUGAUUGGGUCAUCAACAUUUAUUUUCGGGCAAUUCUCUCAGAUAACUAUUUUUAAGUUUUUAUCAUAAAAAUAGCCCUCAAAAAAUAAAAUGACAAAAAAAAAUUUAUUUUGAAUUUUUUACAUUUAUUUUUUAUCCUUUUUAAACUUGAAAUCUUAUCCCAAAAUCUCACAUUUUAGCUCUAAACCCUAAGUCUAGAUUAAUUAACUUUAGGGAUAUAAAUACAUAUUUAACUUUUAAUAAAAUCUCUUUCGAUCAUUUUCCAUCUUGAUAACUAUUUUUAUGAAUUAAAAAGGCUAUUCGAUAGAAUUUCGCUUCAUAUAUUGAAGAAGAAAGAAAAAUCGACCGAGUAAAAUCGGGGAAAAUGCAUAUUUCAACCUGAACAUUACUCAUUGUGUUUAUUCUUACCUGAACUUUGUAAAAGUGCGUAUUUCAUACCGAACUACAUAAAAGCUCAAAAAUACUACAUGAAUUUUAAACGUUAUGCCUUUUUCUUUGCGAAGUUUACAGUAGUGCAUAUAUCAUACUGAACUAAACAAAAAUUCAAAAAUACUACAUGUACUCUUAAAAUCGUGCUAUACUGACCAUCAAAGGUGUUAUUCAACAAUUAAUUUAUCAAACGACGUUGUUUUUAAUAAAUUCUGUAAAUUUUUAAUUUAACAAUACUAUAUUUUUAAACACCUUAAAAAUAUUACAUAAACUCUCAAAAUCGUGUUUACAUAUUAAUUUUUAAUUUUACAAAAUUUAACCAAAAUGACGUCAUUUUGAUAAAUUAACGGAUGACUAACAUCUUUGAUUGUCAAUCUAUAUAUAAACACGAUUUUGAAAGUUUAUGUAGUAUUUUCAAAUUUUAAAUUUUACAGAAUUUAUCAAAAACAAAAUCUUUUGCCUCUGAUCUAAAGGCAAACCAACACAAAAUUCUAAAAUUUUACAAUAUAGUUCAAUUUUUAGUAAUACUAUAAAGUAAAUAUUUAAAUUAAUAAUAAUUGGUCUAAAUUUAUAAAAUAUUUUUAAAGUUAAAUUAAAACAUAAAUGAUUAUACAUUUUUUUAUAAAACUGGAACAAUAAAACUUUGAUAAUAUUUAUUUGAUUAAAAUAAAACUUAAAUAUCAGUUACUGUUUAAAAAUUUAUACAAUAAAUUUACAUUGGUCUAGUAAUUAAUCUGAUUUUACUUGUCCACCAGUAUGAGAAUUUGAACCUUCCAAAAAUUAAUUUUUAAUUUUACAGAAUAUAUUCAAAAUGACGUCAUUUAAUAAAUUAACGGAUGACUAAUAUUUUUGACGUCAAUAUAUAUAAACACGAUUUUGUGAGUUUAUACAGUAUUUAAAUUUUACAUUUUACAUAAUUUAUCAAAAACGACGUCGUUUGAUAGAUUAAUGGUUGAAUAACACCUUUGACGAUUAAUAUAUAUAUAUUAGCACAAUUUUGAGAAUUUAUGUAGUGUUUUUGAAUUUUUUGUUUAGUUCAGUAUGAAAUAUGCACUACUAUAAAUUUCAGAAAGGAAAAAGUACAACACUUAAAGUUUAUAUAGUAUUUUAAAGUUUUAUGUAAUUCGGUAUGGAAUACCACCACUUCAAAGUUCGGGAGAAAAUAAGCACGACGGGUAAAGUUCAGGUUGAAAUAAACAUUUUUCCCAAUGAUUCAGUCACAUUCACAAUUAAUUUUACAAAAAAAUUCCAAAAUGACGUCAUUUUGAUAAAUUAAUGGAUGACUAACAACUUUGAUUGUCAAUAUAUAUAUAAGCACGAUUUUAAGAGUUCAUGUAGUAUUUUUGAAUUUUUUUGUUAGUUCAAUAUGAAAGAUGCACUACUUUAAAGUUCGUGAAGAAAAAUACACAACACUUAAAGUUCAUGUAGUAUUUUUUGAAUUUUUAUGUAGUUCGGUAUGAAAUAGACAUUAUUACAAAGUUCAGGUAGGAAUAAGUACGAUGGUUAAAAUUCACGUUGAAAUAUGCACUUUUCCCGAGUAGACGAUCUCCCCUGAGGAAUAUUAUUAGUUGAAGAAUGUACUCGCUAUGAUAUGGGGCCAUAUGGCUCGAUAGUGAUUACAUUCAUGACGAAAAAUUAAUUCUUCUGUCAUGAAGAAUGUUCUCGUCCAGCUAGCUUGAUAUUUUUGCUCAUUUUGAUUGAUUCUUAGUGAAGAGUUGAUCCUUUUGUCAUGUUUGCAUAUAUUUCUCAUUUUCGAAGUCAUGAGGAAUAAACCAAAAAUAAAAAUAAGACCACUGGCCGUUGAUUUUUCUUGGAAAGGUUGAUGUUUGUUUUCUUCUUAUUAGUAUAAGAGAUUCAUUCUUAUUUUGAAAUUCUAUCAAAAUUAAACUAGUGUAGCAGUUAAAUUAGUUUUUUUUUUCUUAAAGCUAGGAAUGUCAUAAUGUCAUAAAAUCUUGACUUUUUUAAAUUAUAAGUAAAAAAGAUAAAACAUUCAUUUACUAUCAAAUCGAAAGACUAUAAUAUAUGCAAUGCAUGGGUCUUAGUAUAUGCAAUAUGCAUGGGUCUCGUAAACAUUAGUUUGAAUCCAAAUAUAAACCUAAGCAAAAUAAGACUUCAUAAUUAACGUCUUCUUUGGUGUAGACAAUUUUUUUUUUUUGAAAAUUCAUGUAAUUAGUGUAGGGGACCAAUAUGUGUGGAAAUUUGACUAUCCGACACAAAGACUUUGCUUUCGACGUGAUGAAUAUUGGAUUUAUCUCUGUGGAUAUUUUCUGUGUGGAAUAAAAACGAAGUCUAUUAUUGCGCUAUAAAGAGAUGGGCAUGGAAGCAUGUUACUCAUCACCAAUUUCCCUUUUCUUUUCAAAGUUAAAUAAGCUUAAAGAAGAAUGAAAGGCUUUUGGAACAUAACGAGUACCUUUUCUCUUACUCUUUCUAUACUUUUCCUAUUCGGCUACAGUUAUGAGGACGUGUCUGCGGUUCCCACUAGGCACUUGUGUCGUCCGGAACAAAGGGAUGCACUUCUCCAAUUCAAGAACGAGUUUGAGGUUCUAAACUUUUCCUUAACUUACUAUUAUUGUAUGUAUAAAGGUAUUAAACCUCAUGGGAAAACAGAGUCAUGGAUGAAUAACAGCGACUGCUGUAAUUGGGAGGGUAUAACGUGCAACCCCAAUUCCGGUGAAGUGAUUGGGAUAGACCUUAGUUGCAGCUACCUACGUGGCAGGUUUCAUUCUAGUAGCAGUCUUCAAAACCUUCAUUCUCUAACCACUCUAGUCCUUUCAAAUAAUGAAUUUAGUGGUCCAAUCAUGUCUUUAAUUGGAAACCUUUCUCAUCUCACCUCUGUGGACCUUUCGCGAAAUGGUUUCAGCGAGUUCAUUCCUUCUUCGAUAGUAGAUAUUUAUUAUCUCAACUUUCUCGAUCUUUCAUCUAAUCGUUUUUCUGGUCAGAUUCCAUCUUCUAUUGGAAAUCUUUCUCAUCUCACCUAUCUCGAUCUUUCAUAUAAUAGUUUUCCUGGUCAGAUUCCAUCUUGGAUUGGAAAUCUUUCUCAUCUCACCAAUCUUGACCUUCGUUCUAAUCAGAUUUUGGGUCAGAUUCCAACUUGGAUUGGAAAUCUUUCUCAUCUCACCAAUCUUGACCUUCGUUCGAAUCAGAUUUCGGGUCGGAUUCCAUCUUCGAUUGGAAAUCUUUAUAACCUCGCUUAUCUUGACCUUUUUGGGAAUGAUAUUGUUGGAGAAAUCCCAUCUUCUUUUGGCAAUCUAAACCAGCUGACCACCUUAGAUGCUAGUCUCAAUAGGCUCAAUGGAAGCCUUCCCAUUGCACUACUGAAUUUGACAAAGUUGUCAUAUUUAGGACUCUAUUACAAUCAGUUCACAGGCACAAUUCCUCAUAACAUCACUUCACUAUCCAAAUGAUUCAGUCACAUUCACAAUUAAUUUUACAAAAAAAUUCCAAAAUGAAGUCAUUUUGAUAAAUUAACAGAUGACUAACAACUUUGAUUGUCAAUAUAUAUAAGCACGAUUUUGAGAGUUCAUGUAGUAUUUUUGAAUUUUUGUUUAGUUCAAUAUGAAAUAUGCACUACUGUAAAGUUCGUGAAGGAAACACAACGCUUAAAGUUCAUGUAGUAUUUUUUGAAUUUUUAUGUAGUUCGGUAUGAAAUAUGCAUUAUUACAAAGUUCAGGUAGGAAUAAGUAUGAUGGUUAAAAUUCACGUUGAAAUAGGCACUUUUCCCGAGUAGACAAUCUCGCCCUGAGGAAUAUUAUUAGACCAACCGCAACGGAGGCACGUUGGGAGUCCUUAGCCGCUAAACCGAUGUAUUAUGCAAUUUUAUAAUAAUAUUUAGGUUAAGAUAACCAAGGAUGAGUCCGUAGAUAAGGAGUCGAAGGACUUGAUCCUUGUGCACGUGGCGGAGGGUGAUAGGGCUGGGUCGCAUAUGUGUUUUGUUUUGAAAAAAAAAAAUCAUUCAACCGAAGCCGAGGAAAAAAAAAACAAAGCUCUCGACGAAAAGGCGAUAUCGUUGUGGUUCCUCAAUCGUGUUCUUCCACGAAGAUCCAAGGUAAAUCGUUGUCUUCUGUGGUCGAUUUAAUGAUUAAACUAGGUUUUAUGAUGUUAUCGUCUCAAUUUAGGGUUCGUUUUCCGUUUCAAUCGAUUUGGGGAUACUUUCGAUUUAGGGUUUCAAAAUUUUUUUGGGUUUUCAAUUGAUUUCCGAUUCUUUUGGCUUCAACUUAUUCAAAACGUUCUCGGUUUCAAUCUAAGGGAUCUUCGUAUUUGUUCUUAAACAUGUUUCGAUUUCGGUUUCGAAAUACCAAUUUGUUUUCAAUCGAUUUGAACGUCUAUUUGUUUUCUUAUUACGGUUUAUAUGUGUUUGGUUUUUAGUUUGCGUAUCUGUAUGGUUUGGUUAUUCUUAUCUUGUUGUCUGUUAAACUCGAAAACUCAAUCUUGGAUGCCCUCUGUAGUGUUGCCUAUCUUGUUUUAUUAGUUCUCGUUCUCGUUAUUCUGUUCUGUUGCUCUGUAGUCUUAUUGCUCUUUAAUAAUCCUUCUUCUUUGCUUAUAAAUUAUCUAUUUUUUUCAGGUCAACCAACCAUGGGACAAGACUAUAGCUACAGCCAGCCUUCUUCAUCUUCGGAGUUUGACAUGACCUCCCUACUCUUAGCAGAAGCUGAAGCCUACGCGGAUGAAGCUGAGAGUAGCUACACAAUUGAAGAGCCGGUUCAGUACCCACUGCAACCUGAGGCAGAUGAAGGCAUCCCGACGACAUGCUAUUGUGGUGCUGAGCCAGUUGUUGAAACUUCGUACACUCCUAGAGAUCCAGGCAGAAGGUACUUCUCGUGCGUCAACGUUGACGAUGGAGACUGUCACAUUUGGAAGUGGUGGGAUGUGGCGAUCAUGGAGGAGAUGCGUGACGUUCAGAGAAAAAUCAGGCUUCUCAAGGAUCAAUUCUUUGAGACUGACCAGAAGGUGGCAAAGCUAGAGAAGACCGUUGGUUUGUUACGUAAGAAGAAUUCAGGGGUUGCAAAGGGAGUUUGUCUACUGGUCAUGGUAAUAACGGUCAUGAUUUUGUGCUGGUAAGUUACUAUCCUUAGUUUAGGUAAUUUAUUUGAAUAAAAAAUACUUGUAACUCUUUUCUGUUAUGUGUUUUCAGGAAGAGCUUUGGAGGAUUUAAGCCACAACGUCUCAACUCGAGAUUGUCUUGCCAGGUACGAUCUUGCUGCUGCUUAAUAAAAACCAGGAUUUGGUCGGGAGCAUUGACUGUAUGCAUUGGGAGUGGAAAAAUUGCCCAACCGCUUGGAAAGGACAGUACGCACGUGGAUCAUCAAAACCGACAAUUGUCCUAGAGGCUGUAGCUUCGCAAGAUUUUUGGAUCUGGCACACCUUUUUUGGUCAUCCAGGUACAUUAAAUGAUAUUAAUGUCCUCGAUCGGUCUCCUGUAUUUGAUGAUAUUUUAGAAGGUCGAGCUCCCAGGUUAAGGUAUGUGGUCAACGGACACAUGUAUAAGUUGGCAUACUACCUCACAGACUGUAUAUAUCCCAAAUGGUCAACAUUUAUCCAAUCUAUCACACUCCCUCAAUCUCCGAAACAAGAGUUAUUUGCUAAAGUGCAAGAAGCAGCCCGAAAAGAUGUGGAGCGGGCUUUUAGAGUAUUGCAAGCUUGAUUUGUGAUUGUGAAAAACCCGGUUCGUACAUUGGACAAAGAAAAGAUAAGGAAGAUUAUGAGAGCGUGUAUCAUACUACACAAUAUGAUAGUUGAAAAUGAACGAGAUGGUUACAGCCGGUACGAUGCAGAAGAAUUUGAAGAAGGAGACGUCACCAGAAGUUCAGAGGUCGAAACCAAGAGGCCUACAAAUAUGAAUAAUUUGUUUCCCAAUCGGAAUGAUCUUCGUGAUAGGCAUAUGCAUGAACGAUUGAAGAAUGAUUUAAUCAAAAAUAUUUAGAACAAAUUUGGUGAUGAAGAUUAAUAAUUUGUGUAUCUUUUCCUUUCAUCAUUGUAUCUUUAUUUUUAGUUAUGCAAUUAACAAAAUUUCAAUUUCAAUUUAAUUUUUUUUUUAUUAUUGCUAAGGACUUCAUCUUCAGACACACCAUUGGACGACCAUUUUUGAUUCCAAUCCUUAACUAUUCAAAAAAAAUAUAUAUUAAUAAAAUAAUGCUAAAGAUCCAUUGCUGGAGCACACCAUUGCAUAUGCUCUUAGUUGAAGAAUGUACUCGCUAUGAUAUGGGGACAUAUGGCUCGAUCGUGAUUACAUUCAUGACGAAAAAUUAAUUCUUCUGUCAUGAAGAAUAUUCUCGUCCAGCUAGCUUGAUAUUUUUGCUCAUUUUUUUUUUUUGAUAACUAUGGUAUCUGGGCAGCCACAGUCCCAACUAUCCCCCGUAGGGGGUCCAGCGCUCCAGCGGAAGGGAUGUUAAAUCCGCUGUGGCCGGGGCUCGAAGUCGGGCACCUCAGCCGAGGUUCUUUUACCACCAGACCACGAGGCCCGGUUAAAAACUGUUGUGGGUAAACUUUUUAUAUUGACUGACCCCACCCCGAAAGGCCCCGCAUCUAGGAAAACCCCUUAGGAUUUUUUUGGAGAGGUUUCAGUACCACCCCGCCGACAGAGUGUCGAACCCGCGACCUCUGGCAGUCGUGUGUGAGAAUCCCUUCAGUACUGCCGCUAGGCCACCUGAAGUAUCUCAAAACUGUUGUGGGUAAACUUUUUAUAGUGACUGACCCCACCCCGAAAGACCCCGCAUCCAGGAAAACCCCUUAGAAUUUUGUUGGAGAGGUUUCAGUACCACCCCGCCGACAGAGUGUCGAACCCGCGACCUCUGGCAGUCGUGUGUGAGAAUCCCUUCAGUACUGCCGCUAGGCCACCUGAAGUAUCUCCAAGUGAUUGAUUCUUAGUGAAGGGUUGAUCCUUUUGUCAUGUUUGCAUAUAUUUCUCAUUUUUGAAGUCAUGAGGAAUAAACCAAAAAUAAAAAUAAGACCGCUGGCCGUUGAUUUUUCUUGGAAAGGUUGAUGUUUGUUUUCUUCUUAUUAGUAUAAGAGAUUCAUUCUUAUUUUGAAAUUCUAUCAAAAUUAAACUAGUGUAGCAGUUAAAUUAGUUUUUUUUUAUUAAAGCUAGGAAUGUCAUAUAAAUUAAACUAGUGUAGCAGUUAAAUUAGUUUUUUUUUUCUUAAAGCUAGGAAUGUCAUAAUGUCAUAAAAUCUUGACUUUUUUAAAUUAUAAGUAAAAAAGAUAAAACAUUCAUUUACUAUCAAAUCGAAAGACUAUAAUAUAUGCAAUGCAUGGGUCUUAGUAUAUGCAAUAUGCAUGGGUCUCGUAAACAUUAGUUUGAAUCCAAAUAUAAACCUAAGCAAAUUAAGACUUCAUAAUUAACGUCUUCUUUGGUGUAGACAAUUUUUUUUUUGAAAAUUCAUGUAAUUAGUGUAGGGGACCAAUAUGUGUGGAAAUUUGACUAUCCGACACAAAGAUUUUGCCUUCGACGUGAUGAAUAUUGGAUUUAUCUCUGUGGAUAUUUUCUGUGUGGAAUAAAAACGAAGUCUAUUAUUGCGCUAUAAAGAGAUGGGCAUGGAAGCAUGUUACUCAUCACCAAUUUCCCUUUUCAUUUCAAAGUUAAAUAAGCUUAAAAGAAGAAUGAAAGGCUUUUGGAACAUAACGAGUACCUUUUCUCUUACUCUUUCUAUACUUCUCUUACUCGGCUACAGUUAUGAGGACGUGUCUGCGGUUCCAACUAGGCACUUGUGUCGUCCGGAACAAAGGGAUGCACUUCUCCAAUUCAAGACCGAGUUCGAGGUUCUAAACUCUUCCUUUUCUUCUUAUAAUUGUUAUAUCAAUGAUGAUAUACUAGUGUCUCAUCGGAAGACGGACUCAUGGGCGAAUAACAGCGACUGCUGUAAUUGGGAGGGUAUCACGUGCGAUGCCAAAUCCGGUGAAGUGAUCGAGCUAGACCUUAGUUGCAGCAACCUACGUGGCACGUUUCGUUCCAAUAGCAGUCUGCAAAACCUUCAUUCUCUAACCACCCUAAACCUUUCACUUAAUGAUUUUAGUGGUCAAAUCAUGUCUUCAAUUGGAAACCUUUCUCAUCUCACCUCUCUCGACCUUUCACUAAAUGGUUUCAGCGAGUUCAUUCCUUCUUCGAUAGUAGAUCUUUAUUAUCUCACCUCUAUCGAUCUUUCUCAAAAUCGUUUUUCGGGUCAGAUUCCAUCUGCGAUUGGAAAUCUUUCUCAUCUCACCAAUCUUGAGCUUCGUUCGAAUCAGAUUUCGGGCAAGAUUCCAUCUUCUAUUGGAAAUCUUUAUAACCUCGCUUAUCUUCGCCUUUCUGGGAACAAUAUUGUUGGAGAAAUCCCAUCUUCUUUUGGCAAUCUAAACAAGUUGACCAGCUUAGAUGUUGCUGUAAAUUGGCUCAAUGGAAGCUUUCCCAUUGCACUACUGAAUUUGACAGAGUUGUCAUCUUUGCUACUCUAUUACAAUCAGUUCACAGGAACAAUUCCUCCUAACAUCACUUCGCUAUCCAAAUUGACGACCUUUGAUGCAAGAAACAACGCUUUCACUGGGACCCUGCCUUCUUCCCUCUUAACCCUUCCUUCUAUGGAUAGUGUUGAUUUGUUUGAUAACCAACUCAACGGUAAUCUUGAACUUGGGAAUAUAUCUUCACCAUCUAAGCUACGAGAGUUAGACGUUGGCAGAAACAACUUGAGAGGGCCAAUCCCGGCCACGAUAUCAAAAUUUACAAACCUUGUCCGACUUGACCUUUCCCACUACAAGACACAAGGUCCGAUUGAUUUUAGUAUCUUCUCGCAUCUCAAGAGGCUGGAAGAUCUUGACCUAUCCUAUUUGAACACGACCACUACCAUUGACUUGAAUGAUAUCUUGUCAUAUUUUAAGAGACUCAGUUGGUUGGUUCUCUCAGGCAACCAUGUUUCAGCCACAAACAAGAGUCCAGUCUCAGAUCCCCCUUUGCUGCAUUAUUUGGAAUUGUCAGGCUGCGGUAUCAACGAGUUUCCAGAGUUUGUAAGAAACCAAAAUAUGUCAUUUAUAGACAUUUCCAACAAUAAAAUCAAAGGACAAGUGCCCGGCUGGUUGUGGACGAAGCUACCGAAUCUGUCUUACCUGGAUCUUUCCAACAACAAUUUCACUGGCUUCGAAAAACCAACAACAGUUUUAGUUUCAGGGCUAUAUAGCAUAACCGUGCUUGCCUCAGACAACAAUUUCACGGGAAAGAUUCCUUCUUUCAUAUGUGAUUUGCGCUCUGUAUACAUUCUUGAUUUAUCAAACAACAACUUCAGUGGUUUAAUCCCUCGUUGUCUGGGUAAUCUCAAGCUUUCUCUUUUAUACCUAAACCUUCGUCAGAAUCGUCUUCAUGGAGGUCUUCCGGAGAAUAUAUUUGAAAGCUUAAUAACGCUUGACGUCGGUCAUAACCAACUGACUGGAAAGCUUCCAAGAACUUUGAUUCAUUCCCC